rnacentral:lncRNA from 1 species
UAACCAUCAACUAAUCAUAGAAAAGGAUCCAAAUGCAACCAACACCUAGACUUAGGGUUUUAUCUGACAGAAUUCCACAAGUUUUGGUGUUUGUCUAUUUCUGCAGGGAGUUAUCAGGAAAUACGGAAGAAAGGCCCACACGUCGGGUUUACAUAGAGAUAUUAACGUGCCGCGCAAUUUUCUAUCAUCUAGAAGACUCC